rnacentral:rRNA from 1 species
UAAGGAAUCUUCCACAAUGGACGAAAGUCUGAUGGAGCAACGCCGCGUGCAGGAUGACGGUCUUCGGAUUGUAAACUGCUUUUAUAUGGGAAGAUUAUGACGGUACCAUAUGAAUAAGGACCGGCUAACUACGUGCCAGCAGCCGCGGUAAUACGUAGGGUCCAAGCGUUAUCCGGAAUCACUGGGCGUAAAGCGUGCGUAGGUGGAUGUUUAAGUGAGUUGUUAAAUCGUGGGGCUCAACCCUGUCGAUGCAAUUCAUACUGGGCGUCUAGAGGACGGCAGAGGCAAGUGGAACUCGUAGUGUAGCAGUGAAAUGCGUAGAUAUUACGAAGAACACCAAUGGCGAAGGCAGCUUGCUGGGCCACUCCUGACACUGAGGUACGAAAGCGUGGGGAGCGAACAGGAUUAGAUACCCGCGUAGUCC